rnacentral:lncRNA from 1 species
CCCCCCUCGCCUAAACACCAAGCAGUCUGACAUAGGGCAUACGUGUACAAUCAUUUUAAACACAUUUCCAUAUUACGCAUCUUUUCAAGAAAAACCAGCCAAAAGGGAAAACCACAACAAAGGAAAACAAACCAACCAAAAGCUGAAAACCCCCUUGUGCCGGCCACAUUCAAUUUCCAUACAUUUGGGAGCCAUUUUCCAUCCCAAGUCCACUGGAAUUACCCCUGUUUUGCUCAGCAGACCCAAGGCACAUCACAAGACUGACCAGCACAUACAUAACCUUGUACCAUUUCUUAUUGAACAAGACUCCAUUACAUUCAGAUGCCAUCACUUAUUCAGCCAUUCCCCAAUCAGUCGGUAUCCCCUCAAUUUCCAGCUCCUUGCCACCCCAGAGGGCUUCUACAACCAUUUUUGUACAGGUGGGUCCCUUACCCUCUUUUAUGAUCUCUUUCAGACAGAAACCCAAUAAUGAGACUGCUGGGUCAAAGGGGAUGCACAGUUUGAAAGCCCUUUGGGCAGGGUUCCCAAUUGCUCUCUGGAAUGGCUGGAUCAGUUCACAACUCCACCAACAAUGCAUUAGUCUCAAUUUCUCUGUUUCUGGAUUUCUCUCUCUCCUCCCUGUUGUUCUCCCUUUAUCUUUCUUAAUUCUUCCCUGCAUCUCCAUCUUGAAUUUUUUCUCUGUGUGUCUCUCUCUCUAGCUCUGUCUUCUCUGUCUCUCCCUCUCUCUCUUUCUUUCUCUCUAUUGAUCUCUGUGGGUGUAUGUCUUCUGUCUUCCUGCAUUUCUCUCCACCCCAUUUGUUUCCCCCUCCUCCCUUUUUCUUCUAUGUUUCUCUGCAUUCUGUCUGUGUAAGUAUCUGGGUGUCUCACUCCCUGCGUCUCUGUGUUUCUAUCUCUUAAUCUGUGUGUGUAUCUCCCCCACAUCCUGUCUCUGUCUCUCUGUGUGCUUUUUGUGCUUUUUUGUUUGUGUUUACCUUUCUGUCUGAGUCUCUCCCUCUGUCCCUAUCUAUCUUGCCCUAUUUCAUGCAACAUUUUAUUAAUUGCAAUAGUAUUUUAUUUUUCCAGUUACAUGGAAAGAUUGUUUUUAACAUUCAUUUUUGAAAGAUUUUGAAUUGCAAAUUAUCCCCACUCUCUCCGUUACUUCCCCAAACACCAAUCAGCCUGACAUAGGGCAUACAUGUACAAUCAUUUUAAACACAUUUCCAUAUUAUGCAUCUUUUCAAGAAAAAUCAGACCAAAAGGGAAAAACCACAACGAAGGAAAACAAGCCAACCAAAACACCCUUGUGUCGUCCACAUUCAAUUUCCAAACAUUUGGGAGCCAUUUUCCAUCCCAAGUCUACUGGAAUUACCCUAGACCCCCGUCUUGCUCAGCAGAACCCAAGGCACAUCAGAAGAUUGACCAGCACAUAACCUUGCACCAUUUCUUAUUGAACAAGACUCCGUUACAUUCAAAUGCCAUCACUUAUUCAGCCAUUCCCCAACCGAUGGGCAUCCCUUCAAUUUUCGACUCUUUGCCACCACAAAAAGGGCCGCUACGAACAUUUUUGAACAUGUGGGCCCUUUCCCCUCUUUUAGGAUCACAUUGGAAUAGAAACCCAGUAGUGAGACUACUGGAUCAAAGGGGAUGCACAGUUUGGUAGCCCUGUGGGCAUAGUUCCAGAUUGCUUUCCAGAAUGGCUGAAUCUGACAUAGGGUACACAUGUACAAUCAUUUUAACAUAUUUCCAUACUAAUCUUAAGCAAGAAAAAUCAGACCAAAAGGGAAAAACACAAUAAAGGAAAACGAACAAACCAAAAAGUUGAAAAUACCAUUAUGCCAUUCACAGUCAAUCUCCAUAGCUCUCUGUCUACAUCUGGAUGGCAGUUUCCAUCCCAAGUCUACUGGCAUUGCCUUGGGUAACUGUAUUGUUUUGAGCUAAGGCAAAACAUACAAUGGAUCAUCACGUAAUCCAGUAUCAUUUCUUAUCAAACAAUAACAUUCCAUUACAUUCAUAUACCAUCACUCAUUCAGCCAUUCCCCAGUCGAUGGGCUUCCCCCCUCAAUUUUCACCUCCUUCCCAACAGAAAAAUGAAUGCUAAAAACAUUUCUGAACAUGUGGAUCCUUCCCCUCCUUUAAGAACUCUUUGGGAUACAGACCCAGUAGGGACACUUCUGGGUCAAAGGGGAUGCACAAUUUGGUAGCCCUUUGGGCAGAGUUCCAAAUUGCACUCCAGAAUGGCUGAAUCAGUUCACAGCUUCACCAACAAUACUUUAGCCUCUCUGUCUCUAUCUGUCUGUCUGUCUGUCUCUCUCUCUCUCUCCCUCCCUCCAUUUCUUUCUCUCUAUCUCUGUGUGUUUUCUCUCUGUAUCUCUGUGUGGUUUUCUCCAGUCCAUCUCUAUACCCCCCUCCUCCUUCUUCUUACUCUGUUUUCCUCUAUGUCUCUGUCACUCUCUCUGUGUCUCUCUCCUUCUGUGUCUCACUCCCUGUAUCUAUCUCUUUGUUUUUCUCUGUAUCUCUAUGUGUCUAUGUCUGUUUGUAUGUAUAUCCCUCCUUUUCUCUUUAUCUCUCUGGCUAAUUAUCUAUGCAUUUUUAUUUCUCUCUCCUUCUCUGUCUCUCUCAGUCUCUUUCUGUCUCUCCCUCUGACUCUGUGUUUCUUUGUCUUUCUGGCUCUGUUUCUGCCCGUCUAUCUCACUUUCCUCCACUUUACUCUCUCAUUUUAAAUUUCAACAGUAACUUAACAUGCAAAGAUUGUUUUCAACAUUCAUUUUUGUAAAGUUUUCAAUUCCAAAUGUUUCCACCUCUUUCCCUUAUGUCCCACAUCACCAAAACACCAAGCAGCCUGACAUAGGGCAUACAUGUACAAUCAUUUUAAACAUAUUUCUAUAUCACGCAUCUUUUCAAGAAAAACCAGACCAAAAGGGAAAAACACAACAAAGGAAAAACCAACCAAAAGCUGAAAAUCCCCUUGAGCCAUCCACAUUCAAUUUCCAUACAUUUAGUAGCUAUUUUCCACCCCAAGUCCCCUGGAAUUACCCUGGGCCCCCGUCUUGCUCAGCAGGACCCAAGGCACAUCACAAGAUUGACCAGCACAUACAUAACCUUGUACCAUUUCUUAUUGAACAACGUUACAUUCAGACACCAUCACUUAUUCAGCCAUUCUCCAAUCGAUGGGAGUCCCCUCAAUUUUUACCCCUUUGCCAGCACAAAAAUGAAUGCUACAAACAUUUUUGAACAUGUGGAUCCUUUCCCCUCUUUUGUGAUCACAUAGGAAUAGAAACCCAGCAGUGACACUACUAAUUCAAAGGGUAUGCACAGUUUGGUAGCCCUUUGGGCAUGGUUCCAAAUUGCUCUUCAGAAUGACUGGAUCAGUUCACAAUUCCACCAAUAAUAUAUUAGCCUCAAUAACUCUUUCUCUUUGUUUGUGGGUUUCAUUCUCUCCUUCUACUUGUCAUUCUCCCUCUAUCUCUCUUUCUUAGUUCUUAUUUGCAUCUCCAUCUUCUCCUCUCCUCCUCCAUCUCCCCCCACCUCUUUCCAGCCCAUCUCCUUCCCCCCUCCCUUUUUUGUGCCAAUCUCCCUUAUUUCCUGUCUCUCUGUGUGUCUCUCUGUAUGUCUCACUCCCCAUGUCUAUCUCUUUGUCUCUGUCUACCUGUGUGUGCAUCUCCCCCUCUUUCUGUCUCUGUUUCUCUCAGAUUAUUUGUGCAUUUUGUUUAAAUCUCCCUCUCUAGCUCAGUCUCAUUGGCGGUGUUGAUCAUCCAGUCUGUCUUUCCCCCAAUUUACUGUCUCCUUUUUAAUUACAAUAGUAUUUUAUUUUUCCAGUUACAUAUAUUGCUUCAAUAUUCAUUUUUGAAAGAUUUUGAAUUCCAAAUUAUCCCCCCUCUCUCCCUUCCCCAAACACCAAGCAGCCUGACAUAGGGCAUACACGUACAAUCAUUUUAAACAUAUUUCCAUAUCACGCAUCUUUUCAUGAAAAACCAGACCAAAAGGGAAAAACCACAACAAAGGAAAACAAACCAACCAAAAGCUAAAAACACCCUUGUGCCGGCCACAUUCAAUUUCCAUACAUUUGGGAACCAUUUUCCAUUCCAAGUCCACUGGAAUUACCCUGGAACCCGGUCUUGCUCAGCAGGACCCAAGGCACAUCACAAGACUGACCAGCAAUAACCUUGUACCAUUUCUUAUUGAACAACAUUACAUUCAGAUGCCAUCACUUAUUCAGCCAUUCCCCAACUGAUGGGCGUCCCCUCAAGAAACAUCUUGCAACCACAAAAAAGGCUGCAAUAACCAUUUUUGAACAUGUGGGCUUUCCCUCUCUUUUAUGAGCUCUUUGGGAAAGAAACCCAGUAGUGAGACUACUGGGUCAAAGGAUAUGCACAAUUUGAUAGCCCUUUGAGCAUAGUUCUCAAUUGAUCUCCAGAAUGGCUGGAUCAGUUCACAAAUUUACCAACAAGGCAUUAGCCCUACUCUCCCUCUCUAUUUCUCUUAAUCCUUCUGGGCAUCACAAUCAUCUCUCUCUUUCUGUCUCUGAGUCUCUGUCUCUCUUUCUCUCUGUCUCCCUCUCCCUCUCCAGUGCACCUCUCUUUUCCCCUCUCUCUUACUCUCUUUGUGUCUAUCUCUUUGUAUGUAUAUCUUACCCCUUUCUGUCUCUUUCUGUGUCUGUCUGUCUCUCUCUCUCUCUCUGUUUCUCUGAUUAUCUGUGCAUUUUUGUUCAUCUCCUUUGUCUCUCUCAAUCUCUCCCUCUAUCUCUCUCUUUGUCUCUAUGAGUCUGUGUGUGUCUCGGUGUCUCUUUUUUCUCUCUUUUCCCAUCAAUUCUUCUAUCUCUCUUUCCCUCCCUCAAUCUGCUCUCUGUUUGUCUCUGCUGUUCUGUCUUUAUCUCUGUCUCACCUGAUCUGUGUCGAUUUCUACAUGUCUGUCUGUAUCUCUCAUUUCUCUCUCCCACUUCAUUCUCUCUCUUUUAUAAUUUCCAUACUAUUAAUUUUUCAAAUUACAUAUAAAGAUCGUUUUUAACAUUCAUUUUUUUAAUUUAACAUUCAUUUUUGUAAGAUUUUGAAUUCCAAAUUAUCCCCACUCUCUCCAUUACUUCCCCAAAAACCAAGCAGUCUGACAUAGGGUAUACAUGUAUAAUCAUUUUAAACAUAUUUCAAUAUUAUGCAUCUUAUGCAAGAAAAACCAGACCAAAAGGGGAAAACACAACAAAGGAAAACAAACCAACCAAAAGCUGAAAACACCAUUGUGCCGUCCACAUUCAAUUUCCAUAUAUUUGGGAGCCAUUUUUCAUUCCCAGUCCACUGGAAUCGCCCUGGACCCCUGUUAUGCUCAGCAGACCCAAGGCACAUCACAAGACUGACCAGCACAUAACAUCGUACCAUUUCUUAUCGAACAACAAGACUCCGUUACAUUCAGAUGCCAUCACUUAUUCAGCCAUUCCCCAAUCGAUGGGCAUCCACUCAAUUUCCAGCUCCUUGCCACCCCACCGGGCUUCUCCAACCACUUUUGCACAGGUGGGUCCCUUCCCCUCUUUUAUAAUCCCUUACAGACAGAAACCCAGUAGUGAGACUGCUGGGUCAAAGGGUAUGCACAGUUUGAUAGCCCUUUGAGCACAGUUCCCAAUUGAUCUCCAGAAUGGCUGGAUCAGUUCACAAAUUUACCAACAAGGCAUUAGCCCUACUCUCCCUCUCUAUUUCUCUUAAUCCUUCUAUCCAUCACAAUUAUCUCUCUCUUUCUGUCUCUGAGUCUCUGUCUCUUUUUCUCUCUCUUUUACUGUCUCCCUCUCCAGAGCAUCUCUCUUUUUCCCUGUCUCUCACUUACUCUCUCUCUCUCUCUUUGUAUGUAUGUCCUCCCCUUUUUGUCUCUCUCUCCCUCUCCCUCUCUCUCUGUUUCUUGGAUUAUCUGUGCAUUUUUAUUUAUCUCUUUGUCUCUCUCAAUCUCUCCCUCUGUUUCCCUUUGUCUUUCUCUCUAUGUAUCUUCGUGUGUCUUGGUGUCUCUCUUUUCUCUCUUUUCCCACCAAUUCUUCUCUCUCUCUUUCCCUCCCUCAACCUGCUCUGUUUGUCUCUCCUUUUCUGUCUUUAUCACUGUUUCACCUGAUCUGUGUCUAUUUCUACAUGUCUGUCUGUGUCUCUCUCAUUUCUCUCUCCCACUUCAUUCUAUCUCUUUUAUAAUUUCCAUACUAUUUAUUUUUCAAAUUACAUAUAAAGAGUGUUUUUAACAUUCAUUUUUGUAAGAUUUUGAAUUCCAAAUUAUCCCCACUCUCUCCAUUACUUCCCCAAACACCAAGCAGCCUGACAUAGGGCAUACAUGUACAAUCAUUUUAAACAUAUUUCCAUAUUAUGCAUCUUAUGCAAGAAAAACCAGACCAAAAGGGAAAAACCACAACAAAGGAAAACAAACCAAACCAAUAGCUGAAAACACCCUUGUGCCGUCCACAUUCAAUUUCCAUAUAUUUGGGAGCCAUUUUUCAUCCCAAGGCCACUGGAAUCGCCCUGGACCCCUGUUUUGCUUAGCAGGACCCAAGGCACAUCACAAGAUUGACCAGCACAUAACCUUGUACCAUUUUAUACUGAACAACUUUACAUUCAGAUGCCAUCACUUACUCAGCCAUUCCCCAAUCAAUGGGCAUCCCCUCAAUUUCUAGCUCCUUGCAACCACAAAAAGGGCUACUACAACCAUUUUUGCCCAUGGAAGGCCUUUUCCCUCUUUUUUUUUAAAUUAUAGUUUUUUAUUGACAGAACAUCUUUUUCCUCUUUUAAGACCUCUUUGGGAUACAGACCCAGUAGUGAGACUGCUGGAUCAAAGAGAAUGCAGUUUGAAGGCCCUUUGGGGCUGGCUCCAAAUUGAUUUCCAGAAUGGCUGAAUCAGUUCACAAAUGCACCAACAACACAUUAGCCUCACUCUCUCUAUUUCUCCACCUUUGUUCUCUGCAUCAUGGUCUUAUCUGCCUCUGUUUCUCUCUCCUCCUCCCUCCUUCUUUGUCUGUCUCCGUGUGUCUUCUCUGUCUCCCUGCCUCUAUUUCUCUCAAGCCCAUCUUUCCCCCUCCUUCCUUUUUUCUCUCAAUCUCUCUGUCACUCUCUAUGUGUGUAUGUCUGUGUGUCCCUUUCUCUCUCUCUCUCUCUCUGUCUCUGUGUGUGUGUGUCUGUUUCUAUCACUUUUAUCUGUGUGUGCAUCUAUCCUCUAUAUAUAUUGCUCUCUGAUUGUCUGUGCAUUUUGUUUGUGUCUCCUCCUCAGUCUUUGUCUCUCUGUCUCUCUCUGUCUUAGGCUCAUCCAACCAACCCUUCUAUAUCUCUUUCCCUCCCUUCUCUCUCCCCUCCUUUCCUCACCCUGCUCUCACUGUCUCUGUCUCUCCUCUAGCCUAUCUCUGCAUAUAUAUAUAUAUACACACAUAUACACAUAUACAUACAUAUAUAUGUGUGUGUAUAUAUAUAUAUAUAUAUGUAUAUAUAUAUACUGAGAGAAAGAGAGAGAGAGAGAGAUCUCCAUCUAUCUCUCUUUAUUUGUCUUUUCCUCUCAGGCUCUGUCUCUAUGUCUCUGUGUGUCUUUCUCUCCCCACUGACCCUUCUAUAUAUCUUUUCUUCCUCAUGCUGUUCUCUCUUUCUGUUUCUGUCUCUCUCUCUCAAUAUGUCUUUCUAUCUAUAUCUCUCUCCAUCUGUCUCGCUCUCUCACAUGCUCACUGUCUCUCCCUAUCUAUCUCUCUCCCCCACUUCACUCUCUUUUUAAAAUUUCAAUACUAUUUUAUUUUUCCAGUUACAUGCAAAGAUUGUUUUUCACAUUCAUUUUUGUAAGAUUUUGAAUUCCAAAUUAUGCCCCCUCUCUCCCUUCCCCAAACACCAAGCAGUCUGACAUAGGACAUACAUGUACAAUCAUUUUAAACAUAUUUCCAUAUUACGCAUCUUUUCAAGAAAAAGCACGACAAAGGAAAACAAACCAACCAAAACACCCUUGUGCCGUCCACAUUCAAUUUUCAUACAUUUGGGGGCCAUUUUCCAUCCCAAGUCCACUAGAAUUACCCUGGACCCUUGUUUUGCUCAGCAGGACCCAAGGCACAUCACAAGACUGACCAGCAAUAACCUUGUACCAUUUCUUAUUGAACAACAUUACAUUCAGAUGACAUCACUUAUUCAGCCAUUCCCCAAUCGAUGGGCAUCCCCUCAAUUUCCAGCUCCUUGCCACCCCAGAGGGCUUCUACAACCAUUUUUGCACAGGUGGGUCCCUUCCCCUCUUUCAUGAUCCCUUAGAGACAGAAACCCAGUAGCGAAACUGCUGGGUCAAAGGGCAUAUACGGUUUGAUAGCCCUUUGAGCAUAGUUGCCAAUUGAUCUCCAGAAUGGCUGGAUCAGUUCACAAAUUUACCAACAACGCAUUAGCCCUAGUCUCCCUCUCUAUUUCUCUUAAUCCUUCUGUGCAUCACAAUCAUCUCUCUCUUUCACUCUCUGAAUCUCUGUCUCUUUUUCUCUUUUUCAGUCUCCCUCUCCAGUGCAUCUCUCUUUUUCCCUCUCUCUUACUCUCUCUGUGUCUAACUCUUUGCAUGUAUAUCUUCCCCCUUUCUGUCUCUUUCUGUGUCUGUCUGUCUCUCUGUCUGUUUCUCUGAUUAUCUGUGCAUUUUUAUCUCCUCUGUCUCUCUCAAUGUCUCCCUCUAUCUCUCUCUUUGUCUUUGUCUCUAUGAGUCUGUGUGUGUCUCGGUGUCUCUUUUUUCUCUCUCUUUUCCCAUCAAUUCUUCUAUCUCUCUUUCCCUCCCUCAAUCUGCUCUCUGUUUGUCUCUCCUUUUCUGUCUUUAUCUCUCUUACCUGAUCUGUGUCUCUCAUUUCUCUCUCCCACUUCAUUCUAUCUCUUUUAUAAUUUCCAUAUUAUUUAUUUUUCAAAUUACAUGUAAAGAUUAUUUUUAACAUUCAUUUUUUUAAUUUAACAUUCAUUUUUGUAAGAUUUUGAAUUCCAAAUCAUCCCCACUCUCUCCGUUACUUCCCCAAACACCAAGCAGCCCGACAUAGGGCACACAUGUACAAUCAUUUAAACACAUUUCCAUAUUAAGCAUCUUAUGCAAGAAAAACCAGACCAAAAGGGAAAAACACAACAAAGGAAAACAAACCAACCAAAACACCCUUGUGCCGUCCACAUUCAAUUUCCAUACAUUUGGGAGCCAUUUUCCAUCCCAAGUCCACUGAAAUUACCCUGGAUCCCGGUCUUGCUCAGCAGGACCCAAGGCACAUCAAAAGACUGACCAGCAAUAACCUUGUACCAUUUCUUAUUGCACAACAUUACAUUCAGAUGUCAUCACUUAUUCAGCCAUUCCCCAACUGAUGGGCAUCCCUCAAUUUCCAUCUUGCAACCACAAAAAAAGGCUGCAAUAACUAUUUCUGAACAUGUGGUCUUUCCCCCUCUUUUAUGAGCUCUUUGGGAAAGAAACCCAGUAGUGAGACUGCUGUGUACCCUUUGGGUACCUUUGGGGUAUGCACAGUUUGGUAGUCCUUUGGCCCAAUUCCAAAUUGUGUUCUAGAAUGGCUGAAUCAGUUCACAAAUUUGCCAACAAAGAUUAGCCCCACUAUCCCUCUAUUUUUCUGUCUUAUUUUUUCUCUGCAUUACUAUUAUGUCUGUCUCUGUCUCUCUUUCUUUCUCCCAUCUCUUUCUGCCUCCUCCCUUUUUUCUCUCAAUCUCUCUUUUUUCUGUCUAUUCAUGUCACUCAUUCUCUGUGUGCGUCUCUGUCAAUCUAUGUGUAUAGCUCUCCUCCCAUUUCUGCCUGUAUUUUUCUUUAUCUUUCUGAUUAUCUUUUCAUUUUUGUUCGUCUCCCUCUCUCUCUCUCUCGGUUUCUCUCUCUCUGUUUCUUUGUCUUUCUCUGUGACUGUGUCUGUCUUCUCUUUUUUUCUCUCUCCUCACUGACUCUUCAUUCUCUCUCUCUCUGCUUUCUCUCUCUUCCCUCCCUCAUCUUGUGCUCUCUGUCUGUCUAUCUCUAUUUAUUUCUAGAUCUAUCUUUCUCUCGUUACCUGUCUCUCUCCCUAUCUCCCUGUCUCUGUCUCUAUUUUUCUCUUCCCCCAUUUCACUCUCUCUUUUAUAAUUUCCAGGCCAUAUUAUUUUUCCAGUUACAUGUAAAGCAAGUUUUCAACAUUCAUUUUUGAAAGAUUCUGAAUUCCAAAUUAUCCCCACUCUCUCUCUCCUCUACCUCCCCCUCCCCAAAACACCAAGCAGUCUGACAUAGGUUAUACAUGUACAAUCAUUUUAAACAUUUCCCUAUUACGCAUCAUAUGCCAGAAAAUCAGUCCAAAACGUAAAAAGCACAAGACAGGAAAACGAACCAACCAAAAGGCUGAAAACACCAUUCUCCCUCCACACCCCGUCCCCACCCAUUUGGAUGCCAUCUUACACCCCAAGUCUACUGGAAUUGCCAGAAAUCACUAUUAUUUAGGAGAGCUAACAGAGAUCCAUAGGAUUGAUCACAUAACCUUGUAUCAUUUCUUAUUGAACAAUAAUGUUCCAUUACAUUCAUAUCCCAUCACUUAUUCAGCCAUUCCUCCAUUGAUGUGCAUCCCCUCACUUUGUUGCAACCACAAAGAGGGCUGCCACAAUUAUUUUUGGACAUAUGGGUCCUUUCUCCUCUUUUAUCACCAUCCUUGUGGGAUACAGAGCCAGUAGUGAGACUGUUGCAUCAAAGGGGAUGCACAGUUUGCCAGCCCUUGGGGCAGAGUUCCAAAUUGGUCUCCAGAAUGGCUGGAUCAGUUCACAAAUCCACCAGAAAUGCAUUAUUCUCAAUCUUUCUGUCUCUUUCUGGAUUUCUCUCUAUAUAUAAUUCUCCCUUAAUAUCUCUUUUUUAGUUCUUCUAUACAUCUCUAUCUCCUUCUUCUGUCCAUGUGUGUCUCCCUUGAGCUCUCUG